rnacentral:rRNA from 1 species
AGCUUUAGGAAAAUCAUCUAAAGUUAAACCUGCCCAGUGUUAAUAUUUUAAGAAUAAAUGGCCGCGGUACCUUGACCGUGCUAAGGUAGCGCAAUCAAUUGGCUCCUAAUUAGGGUCAGGAAUGAAUGGAGUUACGUAGUUCAGCUGUCUCCUUUUUAAUUACUUGAAAUUACUAUAUAAGUGAAAAAGCUUAUUCUAAGAAAAAAGACGAGAAGACCCUUAGAGUUUUACUUAAAAUAAUGAGCCUUGUGUCAUUAUAAUGGUUUUGUUGGGGCAACACAGGAGCAAGAAAAACAUAAAUAAUCUCCUAAAUUAUACUAACCGAUUCUCUUAAAAGUGUAUAAACUACCUUAGGGAUAACAGCAUUAUGUAAAAAAUAAGUUUGUGACCUCGAUGUUGGACUGGGAAACUUAAAGGCUAGCCGUCUUUUAGGAAAGUUCUGUUCGAACUACUAUUCCC